GACGAACGCUGGCGGCGUGCCUAAUACAUGCAAGUCGAACGCUGAAGGAGGAGCUUGCUCUUCUGGAUGAGUUGCGAACGGGUGAGUAAAGCGUAGGUAACCUGCCUGUUAGCGGGGGAUAACUAUUGGAAACGAUAGCUCAUAUCGCAUAAGAGUAAAUGUUGCAUGACAUUUGCUUAAAAGGUGCAAUUGUAUCACUACCAGAUGGUCCUGCGUUGUAUUAGCUAGUUGGUGGGGUAACGGCUCACCAAGGCGACGAUACAUAGCAGGCCGUGAAGGGGGGACGGCCAACAUUGGACCGGAGCAAGGCCCAAGACCCCAAGGGGAGCAGCAGGAAGGGAACCUUGGGAAUGGACGGAAGGCUGAACGGGCAAAGCCGGGGUGGGGAAGAAGGGUUUCGGAUCGUAAAACUCUGUUGUAAGAGGAGAAAGAGUGGGGGAAGGAAAAGUGCACGCUGUGACGGUAUCUUACCAGAAAGGGACGGCUAACUACGUG
rnacentral:rRNA from 1 species